rnacentral:rRNA from 1 species
UACGUAGGGUGCGGAGCGUUAAUUCGGAAUACUGGGCGUAAAGGGCGCGCAGGCGGCCCUCCAAGUCAGGCGUGAAAGCCCCGGGCUCAACCCGGGAACAGCGCUUGAGACUGGGGGGCUUGGAGUUCGGGAGAGGAGAGUGGAAUUCCCAGUGUAGAGGUGAAAUUCGUAGAUAUUGGGAAGAACACCGGUGGCGAAGGCGGCUCUCUGGACCGACACUGACGCUGAGG